rnacentral:rRNA from 1 species
CAGUCGAACGAAGCACUUUAUUUGAUUUCCUUCGGGACUGAUUAUUUUGUGCCUGAGUGGCGGACGGGUGAGUAACGCGUGGGUAACCUGCCUUGUACAGGGGGAUAACAGUUGGAAACGGCUGCUAAUACCGCAUAAGCGCACAGCAUCGCAUGAUGCAGUGUGAAAAACUCCGGUGGUAUAAGAUGGACCCGCGUUGGAUUAGCUAGUUGGUGAGGUAACGGCCCACCAAGGCGACGAUCCAUAGCCGACCUGAGAGGGUGACCGGCCACAUUGGGACUGAGACACGGCCCAGACUCCUACGGGAGGCAGCAGUGGGGAAUAUUGCACAAUGGGCGAAAGCCUGAUGCAGCGACGCCGCGUGAGCGAAGAAGUAUUUCGGUAUGUAAAGCUCUAUCAGCAGGGAAGAUAAUGACGGUACCUGACUAAGAAGCACCGGCUAAAUACGUGCCAGCAGCCGCGGUAAUACGUAUGGUGCAAGCGUUAUCCGGAUUUACUGGGUGUAAAGGGAGCGCAGGCGGUGCGGCAAGUCUGAUGUGAAAGCCCGGGGCUCAACCCCGGUACUGCAUUGGAAACUGUCGUACUAGAGUGUCGGAGGGGUAAGCGGAAUUCCUAGUGUAGCGGUGAAAUGCGU